rnacentral:lncRNA from 1 species
AUCCAUAUGUGCCUGCAACUGCACUCCAAUUCGACGAGUCUGUCUUCAACAAUUUAGCAGUGCCAAAAUCAGAAAUACAAGCUUCAUACUCUGAGUUGAGAAGAAUGUUCUUGCUAGAAAUGUCACGAUGAACAAUUGGAGGUGAACAGUCAUGGUGCAUGUAAGACAAUGCAUGAGCCACACCUUUGAUAAUAUUUACCCUCAUAUGCCAGUUCAAUUCUUUAGCUAACACUUCAUUACUCAGCGCUGCUUCCAAGCUGCCAUUUUCAAGGUACUCAUAAACCAAGAAUGAAUGUGGAGGUUGUGAACAGUAUCCCAGAAGCUUAACAAUGUUCCGAUGCCUUAUCUCAGUCAAUGCCCUCACCUCGUUAAAGAAACCUGAAGGAUCAGCUAGUUCAGAUGAUGGGUAAAGCUUCUUUACAGCUACAGUAUCAGUUGAGUGUAGCGUUGCUUUAUAAACACUUCCAAAUCCUCCCUUUCCGAUGCAAUAAAAAUCAUCAAAUUCCUUUGUGGAAGUCAAAAUUUCACUAUACAGUUCUUUUCCAUUUAAACUUGACACCGUAAUCAGCUCAUGAAUUUCCUGAUCAUUUUGCUGGAUUUCUGCAGAUCUUUUCUUCCGUAUAUAGAUCACUAGGACCCAAAUAGCCAUCCACAGAAGUAGAGAUGCUCCGAGACAAGGAAGUAUUAUAAGAAGGAUGAUUUUGUGAUCUUUUUUCGUAGUGUUUCUGUCCACUAAUGAAGGAUCUGUGCAAGGUUGCAAGCCAGUAAUGUUGCCACAAAGACCAUCAUUUCCUUGUACACUUAGGAUGGAAGCAUUUAUGAAAGCUUUGCUAAUGGGGAUAGGACCUUGAAGCUUAUUGAACGAUAUGUCAAUAAUCAAAAGACCAGGCAUAUUAUCAAAAGCUUUUGGGAGGAAACCAGAGAGUUCAUUGUGAGAAAUAUUCAGCAGCUCCAGACUUCCCAAGCUGUUUAUUUGUGAUGGUAUCUUCCCCAUAAGCGCGUUAUUGCUAAGAUCAAGUGAAGAUAGAUGAGAUAACUUUGUUAUCCCAGGGGGGAUUUCCUGCCUAAAACCAUUGUUGCUGAGGUUCAAGUAAUGCAAUUGCUGAGAGCUCCCUAUGGUUCCUGGAAUUGAACCGUUAAAUCCGUUUCUUGACAGAUCAAGAUACUCAAGUUUUGGAAUUAGUCCGAGUUCUGGAGGUAGAUUACCUGAGAGUUGGUUGUUGGAUAAACGCAGAUCCAGAAGAUUACUCAAAUUUCCUAUAUCUUUUGGAAUCAUCCCAGCAAGAUGAUUUUUUGAAAGAUCAAGCUUUUGUAGAUUAGCAAUAUUACUGAUUUCUCGGGGUAUGCUUCCAGUUAUGCUGUUCCCGGAAAUGAGCAAUGAUUUUAGUUUCUUGCACUUUGACCAAUUUUCAGAGAUCUCCCCAUAUAACUUGUUAUUGUUAAGAUUUAUGAAAUCCAAGUCAGGAUAUACACCGAAAGCUUCAGAUAUAUUUCCAUUCAGCUGGUUAUUAUCAAGGCGGAGUCUCACUAAGCUUGAGCAAUUUCUUAAGCUUCUCGGGAUUGAGCCAUUGAGCAUGUUGUCAUUCACAGUUAAGUUGGUAAGUUUCCCACCAGCACAAAUAUUUUCUGGUAAAGAUCCAGAUAGUUGAUUUGCGCCCAUCUCAAACAUAAUCAAGUUCAAAUUCCCCAACUCUUGUGGAACAGGACCCGAGAGUUGAUUAUCACGAACAUAUAAGUAUUCCAAGUUGCUUAAAUUACCUAAUGAAGCCGGAAUUGAACCAGUGAGCCUAUUCUCACUCAAUUCUAGAUCUUUCAUCGACUGCAAGCUCCCUAAUGCAUCAGGAAUCAGGCCAGAAAGUCUAUUAUCAUAGAGAUGCAAUCGACGUAAUGACUGAAGAUUACCUAAUGAUGAUGGGAUUGAGCCAGUAAGAUUAUUUGAGUAAAGGCUUAGACUCUUGAGGAACUUCAAGUUUCCUAGUUCAGAAGGAAUAGAACCAGAGAGAUAGUUGUCGAAGAGAUUCAAGUAAGUUAAGUUUGUGAAGUUUCCAAAAAAGGAUGGAACAGGACCCAUCAAAUAAUUGGUGUCCAUGAAAAGCUUGACAAGAUUGAGAAGAGAACUGAGUUCAGCAGGGAUGGAACCAGACAGCUGGUUUUCAAAAAGAUAAAGAUUAUUCAGGUUGGUUAAUCUUCCGAAAGAAGCAGGAAUGGGACCUUCAAGAUUGUUUGUGUAUAAUGCAAGUUCAACAAGAGAGCUUAAGUUUCCAAUCUCUUGAGGAAUCGAGCCAUUCAACUGAUUCUCAACUAGGUGGAGAACUUCAAGAUUUUUCAGCAUUCCAAUUUCCUCAGGAAUUUUCCCAGAAAAUUGAUUGGUCGACAAGUCCAGAUAAAUCAGCUUGGAAAGGCCACCUAUUUGUGGUGGAAUGUUGCCAUAAAAAUCAUUCACUGCAAAAUCAAUGUGUGUGAGAUUCGGAAGAGAUGAGAAGGGGAAGCUAUCGAGAGUUCCCUCAAUAGAAGCCGUGAGAUUUAAGCGAGUGACACUGCCAAAACUGUUGCAUGAAACUCCAUACCAGGUGGAGCAUGGAGAAUUUGCACCGGAAGAAAGUCUCCAUGUACUCAAUGCUGAAUUUUUCGGAGUUCGAAGGGUGGCUUUCCAUUCAAGAAGAGAAGUAGCUUCUUGAGAAGCAGCUGCUGCAGCAAAAGCAGAAAUUAUUGAAAAUGCAGUUAUGAUGUACAAAAUGAAUGGCUCAAGAGAUAGAUGCUUUGACAUGUUCAAAGUAGUAUUGGUGUAUUAUUUGGUUUGAUAGAUUAUAGAACCACAUGUGUGUCCAUUAAAUGUUUCGACAAAUCUAGCUACAGUUUGUUUUCUUUUGUUUUUUCUUCCAACAUGUUGAGGUAUAUUAAAUUGAUUCUCUUUUGAAUCAUUUCUUCCUUAUCCAGCCCCCAGGACCAUUUAACUAUACUUCUAUCCCAAUCUGUUGGCUGAAAGUCAGAAAACAAUUCAUACAAAAUGUAGUAAUUUUGUGAAAUUGAGGGCAUUUCGCACCUAACACAAAAUAGUACUCGUAGAGUUAAUAGGCAUGUAAUUCUUCGAGAGAUGCAAUAGGAACAUAUAUUUUAGUUAUUAUCUGUUUGUGUAUUAUCUGUUUGUGUCCGGUGUUUGUUUUGGGUGCAAUAAGAACAUAUAUUUUAGUAUAUAGUAUUAUCUAUUUGUGUUCGUUGCAAAAUAUCUCCAAUUUGAUUUUUUGAAAAUCAAAAGACACGUAAUUUGAUACGGGAAAUAUCUUGUACAGUUAAUAGACAUGUGUUAUGUGUAGCCAAUAAAAAUUUAUCUAUUGAAAACACAAUCCGAAUAGUGCAAGUGAACGAGUAAAUAAAAGGUUUACCGAUCAUUUACAAUAAAUACUUCAUUUCCUCUCUAGCUCUCUUUUUACAUCUCAAAUUAUGUAUUCAAAAUGAAAAUGAUUAUUAUUUCGAAAUGAAGAAAAUAUUUAUAUAUGUUUUAAAAUAUAAAUAUAACGUUAUAUUUAAUAAUAAAGAAACGGGAGCAUGAAAAUAAAAUUUUUGUCGGAUUCAGAUUUUACGGGAUCUCUAGACACAUAACCAAGAGUCCAAGACACUAGUUUAACAAGUUGAGCCGUUGAGGUACACAACCCCACUCCCGUCAGGCCUUCAAAGUUGACUGGUGCCUGUAACAUUCAAUGUCUUUAUAAUCCCAUCUCGAAUUUUUUAUUUGGCGAUCUGGAAAAACCUUGAGCUAGUGGGGGAGUUCAUUACUGGGAAAGUGACAUGGGUCGACAAUAUUAACUCUGCGCCACAAAAUAUAGAAAAUACUAAUCGGAACUUUCUUCUGCUUUAGGAAAUUUCCUCUUGCUAACAUAUAGUAUCAAAAAUCCUUCGACCGCAGUGGCGGACCCAGAAAUUAAUUUUAUUGGGGGCACAUUAAUCAAUAAUUCUUUUUAAAAAAAUAGGAUAUAAUGAAAACUUUUUUUGAGCAAAUGAUAUAAUGAAAAGAAUACAUUAUUUCACCUUGUUAUAAACUAAUCCAACUUUAAUGUUGAUGGGUUUUGAUAGACUGGGCUUGAUAAAAUACUUACAUAAUGAAUCUCAGUAUUAAUAUUAGCAUGACAGUUGUUUUUCACCGGACACUAACUAAUCCAUACAGUAGUAUAUAUAAGCAUGGGCUGAGAAUUGACUGGGGGCCCAUGCCCCCAUAACCUACACCGUAGGUCCGCCCCUGUUCGACCCCAAUCACAUCAUAAAAUACAAUUGUUUGUAAUAUAUAAUUUAUAAGAUGAAGUUGAAUGCUAUACAACAUUAAAUCGAAGAAUAUUUGUCUUGCAUUUCCAAAUUGUUUUGUAUUUAACGGUUCAUAAUCUUUGAUUUUGCAGAAUAAUAAUAAUAAUAAUAAUAACAACAACAACAACAACAACAACAACAAUAAUAAUAAUAAUAAUAAUAAUAAUAUUACACUAUAUUUUGUAAUUAUUGAGAUAUCCACUCCUUUCUCCUAUAUUUAAAACAGAUAUUUGUAAUCUAUGUUUUUAUUAUGAAUUUUUAAUUGUGUUGUGCAAUUGUCACCGUUCAACGCGAAAAAUAUAUUUUUAUGUAUAUAUACAACAAGCACAAUAAAAAUGUAAUACCCCAUUAUUGCAAAAUAUAUAUUAUGCUUACGCAUGUUUUAGUUUAUAGAUAUUUUUUUUAAAUUUGAAAAUUAUGGUUUGACGUCCCAAAAUUUAUUGUGAGUGGAUUUAGGCCGCAACGGCUCACAUGAUCAUCCAUAUGUAAGCUGUUCAUUGCAAGAACAGUUUCUACUGAUAGCAAUAUAUAACAUGUAAAUUCACUCUUCGUGUAAAUCCGAGAAGAUUGGAGUUUCUUCAUCAAUAUUAUUUUGAGAUUUUAAUAAAAUAUAAUUUCAUAAAUUUUUUAUAAAUUUUUUAUUUUUAGAAUAAAAGUUUAAAUAUCAAAUUUAUGAAUAGGUUACUUGUAUCAAUUGAUCACCUAAAUUUGUCAACUAGUUGAUAGAAAAUUUGUAAAAAGCAAAUAAACGAAAAAAGGUAGUAUAGUGUUCAAACACAAAUUUUGAAAUUGGUAAAAAGCAAAUACGCUGAUUGUUGAAACUCGAGUUUCUUCGAGAAAAUUUAUUAAAGUUUUCUUAGAUUAGAAAAAUCUACUUUGAAAAUUUUAAAUUGUCUAUUAAUACUUUAACUUUCAGUUUGCCCUUUAAAUCAUUUAUAUUCAAGUAUAAACAAAUUUUAUAGUAAUUAGAAAGAGUUUUAAAUUUUCAACCUUGCCCUCUUCAAUUUACCAUAAAUUUUUAGGAAUGUGUUUUCUUGCAAGGACUAAAAUCACAUUGCGCCCUGGUACAUUUAUGUUUACAUAUCUCCGGUGCUAACUCACAACUACACAAGGCAAUGAAGCAAAAGAGAACAAGUAACAAGUAUAUACAAUCUGAAUCAGCUAUUUACUUGAGUCUCCGACUUAAAAGGCUUGUUGAUGAUAUUUGUUUUGGCCUCAAAUAGCUGACUAACAAUAUACAUUGUUGGCCUUGCUUUUGGAUUUGAAUGCAAACAUGCAUUUGCCACUUUUAUCAUCUGGAGCAGAACCUCUACCAUAUCUUCUGAGGGAGGUGGAAUUCUGUCGUCGACAUAAUCUUUUAGCUCUAUGGUCUGUCUUGAUGGAGUAAAUGGUGAUGCAGAAGCACCCGGAUGCUUUCCUUUGAUCACUUCUAAUGUUAAUACUCCAAAGCUAUAAACGUCGCAUUUUUCAGUUACCUUCAUUGUGUAGGCAUAUUCUGCAACCAUUUAAAACAAACAAAAUUGAACAUUAGAAGAUUAAAAAGGCCUAUAAGAAUGGAAUGGAUUGGUACCUGGUGCAACAUAUCCAUAUGUGCCUGCAACUGCACUCCAAUUCGACGAGUCUGUCUUCAACAAUUUAGCAGUGCCAAAAUCAGAAAUACAAGCUUCAUACUCUGAGUUGAGAAGAAUGUUCUUGCUAGAAAUGUCACGAUGAACAAUUGGAGGUGAGCAAUCAUGGUGCAUAUAAGACAAUGCAUGAGCCACACCUUUGAUAAUAUUUACCCUCAUUUGCCAGUUCAAUUCUUUAGCUUGCACUUCAUUCCUCAGCAUUGCUUCCAAGCUGCCAUUUUCAAGGUACUCGU